ACAACAGCCGUGCAUGAGGGAGCGAGGCAGGCCGCAGCUGAGGCGCGUCGCAGGAAUGGUAAAACAAGUGAAGGGUGGUUACCUACUUAGAUACAAAAAGCGACUGUUCGGCAAGGCGUGGCGCGAGGAGUGGGUGGUGCUGUACGACGACUCGACGCUCGCCUGGUUCAAGGAGAAGGGC